GCCCGGGUGCUGGAAUUGGUAGACAGGCAUGGUUGAGGGCCAUGUGUUCAUUAGGGCGUGCGGGUUCAAGUCCCGCUCCGGGUACAA
rnacentral:tRNA from 1 species